UACAGAGGGUGCAAGCGUUAAUCGGAUUUACUGGGCGUAAAGCGUGCGUAGGCGGUUCGUUAAGUCGGUUGUGAAAGCCCUGGGCUCAACCUGGGAAUUGCAGUCGAUACUGGCGGACUAGAGAACGGUAGAGGGAGGCGGAACUCCAGGUGUAGCGGUGAAAUGCGUAGAUAUCUGGAAGAACACCGAUGGCGAAGGCAACCUCCUGGGCCUGUUCUGACGCUGAGGCACGAAAGCGUGGGUAGCAAACAGGG
rnacentral:rRNA from 1 species